GAUGAACGCUAGCUACAGGCUUCACACAUGCAAGUCGAGGGACCGGCGCACGGGUGAGUAACACGUAUCCAACCUGCCCUUUACUCGGGGAUAGCCUUUCGAAAGAAAGAUUAAUACCCGAUAUAAAGUAUGGGGAUGCGUUCCAUUAGGUUGUUGGUGAGGUAACGGUGCACCAAGCCUUCGAUGGCUAGGGGUUCUGAGAGUAAGGUCCCCUACAUUGGAACUGAGACACGGUCCAAACUGCUAGGGGAGGCAGCAGUGAGGAAGAUGGGGGAAGGGGCGAUAGCCUGAUACAGCCAAGUAGCGUGAAGGAGGAAGGCUUAUGGGUCGUAAACUUCUUUUAUAUAAGAAUAUGUAUUAUAUGAAUAAGGAUCGGCUAACUCCGUGCCAGCAGCCGCGGUAAUAC
rnacentral:rRNA from 1 species